AACCUUGAGAUCACGCCCACAAAUAAGAGAGAUAAUAUGAGGUUGCGUAUUCAUUACUAUCAAUUGGUUUGCGCUAUUUUUUACAUUCUAGUAUUGAACUAAACAAAUAGCACAUCACAUAAUAUGUGAUCUUAUUUAACUAAUGCAUUGUUUAAUUUAGUGACCUCUACACAAAUACGGUUAAGAUGUGUGUUUACUGGUUUGUAGUUCCCUAAACAUAAAUGUAUAACACUUAAACACUUUAAGUUUCCAAUUCUUAGUAGAAAUCUUGUGAGUAAGAGUGCA